CGAAAGGGAGAGUAACGCGUAGUUAUGUGCCCUAGGGUCCGGAAUAGCCACGGGAAACUGUGGGUAAUGCCGGAUAAUAUCCCCGGAUCAAAGGUGUGAUUCCGCCCUAGGAGCAGACUGCGUCCUACUAGCUAGUUGGUGGGGUAAUGGCCCACCAAGGCAACGAUGGGUAGCGGGUGUGAGAGCAUGACCCGUCUCACUGGGACUGAGACACUGCCCAGACACCUACGGGUGGCUGCAGUCGAGAAUCUUC
rnacentral:rRNA from 14 species